CACAGGUGGUUAGCAGAUAGGGACCUCAAAAACAGGAAAGAGCAAGGAGAGAUUAACUGAGUUUGGAAAAAGAGGCAAAGGAGAAACAGUUAGGGAGGUGUGGGCUAGAGUCCCUGAGAGUUAGCAAGAACCUAAAGCCUGAUUGCUUUUGGAAACUUCUGAAAGUUGUGUGUUCUCAUGGAUUUUCUGAAGUUUGGAAUGAAGCCACAUUACAAAUCUUUGUAACUUUGAUGAAGAAAAAUUCACGUUUCCCACACAGCAGCAGAGCUCUUGUCAUCACUUCCAGUCAAAGAAUGAUUAAUAGUGUCGCUACUGUUCGACAGUAACCUAGGAUGGAUUAACCUCCAGUACUAAAUCAAAACUGUACAGACAACUUAGGAUACAUGUAUUUUUUUUUCUUUCUUCUUGUCAUGAUGCUGCCUUUUCAUUGUUCCUUGGGCUAUAAGGACUUCAGUGCAUUGACUACUUUUUGACCUUCUUAAAUGCAUUUUUUCAAUUUAAGACAUUUUUAGUGCUGCCCUAUUUAUCAAUAGCCUUGUUUUCUAUAGUUUGGUCCAACUUGCAUCCCAGUUAAAAGUUUAAGUAUU